rnacentral:lncRNA from 1 species
UUUUUUUUUUGAGGGUCACUAUAGAUGUUCACAAACACGUAUAUACACCAACCGCGAAAAAAAACACGUAUAUACACUUCCCCUGCUGAGCGCAUGCACGCAUAAUCAGCAGACUGGACAUACACGACAUUUCCUGUUUCGUUAAAAGUGGAUUAGUGGACGGUGGAAAAUGCCCGUCGCAGCAAAACUGAUGGCGACGCCUUUGCGAACAACCUUGGUCCAAAUGCGGUGCGAAUGAAAAAGAUCAUCUAACGUUAGUAUGUAAUAAUUCCGAAGUUUGUUGAAAAGUGCAACACAAGGUCCAAAUCUUACGUGCAAGGAAACACUAAUCUUGGUGUUACGCGCAACUGACAUCAAACCAGGCGGUGCAAAAGCGACUGCACUGCCUGUAAUCCACCACCAAGCUCAGAGCUGAGACGUACGUUUGUUUGUUGUAUGUAUCUUUUUUUUUUCUUCUAUGUAUUGUAGUUGAGCACGGGAGAUAAGCCUCAUCUCAAGCUGGAAAAAGCUUGGAAGAAAACAACAAGAUCUGGCGUGUGAAUCUUGUUGUGUUGCACACGUGCCUUUUGUACUGUUAUUAUCACAGGCGUGACAAUGACAUGGGUAUCGUCUCACACUCCCUUGUGUCUUGUGUGGAAGAGGCCAAUCUUGAACUGAAGCGAGACAGGAGGCAUCGCCUGUCGAUCGUCCAUUUUUCUUUUGGUGAGGCUACUGUGAUGCAAAGCGAAUGGACGGGUCCUCAACGGCCCGGGCGCCUCCAUCGAGUAUGAUCCAUGCAAAACGAGUUUACAUGCAGAUGAAGGCGCUUCCUGGAACCAACCGAGGCGGCGUGCACCGACUCACACGGCGAGCGUGCGCGCGGGCACGGUGGAUUCCGGCGAGGAACUCACGCGGGUUUUCGCCUCCAACUACUGCGAUGCGCAGGUCUUGAUGGUCACGCUCUUUUGUCGCAUGCCUCCUGCUUGUACUGAGUAGACGAGGGUAAAAUGAAUGUAUAUAAAAAACACAUUCAUCUUCAACACCACAGAUUGAGCACGUAUCUACGAUAGCUUGAUGGUGAUUUACUCUGUUAACUUGUACGGCUAAGCUAUUAUAUGCAGCCCUCCAAGCAAAGAUUCUAAUCUUCUGAGGUACAUUAGCCUUCCAAAUAAUAUUUCAGAGCCUCAUUUCCCCAUUAACAUAUACACUGGAGUUCUCCGGUGCCAUGUCCGAGUCCUUAAUAUUCAGGGCCAACCUGUACGCACUCUUCAUUGAAAACAACCCAUUUUUCUUAUGAUGCCAGGCGAUGAAGUCAUCCUCGUUCAAAUUUAGAAUGCGUAACUUUAAAAUUUCCUCCGCAUCAUGAGGGUAAAACAGAUGCCUGAUUAAAUUCUCAUCCCAUCUCCUUGAGCCACUCAUGAAUAAAUCAGCAACCCAUUUGACCCUCGUUCUGGUCCUCUUAGCAGAAAUUUUUAGGCCAAAAUCCCUCGGAAGCCAAUUAUCCCUCCGAAUAUUUAUACUAGCACCAUCGACGACUCUCCAGAUGAUACCCCUUUUCAACAACUCGAGUCCAUGCACAAUACCUUGCCAUGUAAGCGAAGUCGCUUGAGGGAAGACCGUAUCAAUAAGAUGUCCAUGAGGAUAAUAUUUAGCUUUCAUCACCUUUGCACACAAAGAGUCUGGAAAACCCAAUAAACGCCAAGCUUGUUUGGCCAAAAGUGCUUGAUUGAAAAGCCCGAAGUCCCGAAAUCCCAUACCCCCUUCACCUUUUGAUUGAAAAUGCUUUGGUAUGCUGUCCCAAGGUACGUGCAUUCCGUAUGGGUUUGAGAGAGGUGUGGAAUUUGCCGGAUGAAGACAUUUUAAACUGUUCGGGGCCGGACUGGUUUCUUAUUUUAUUGGAUCAGUUAAGUUCGCCUAUGCGUAAGCAAACAAUUUUCAUGUUCUGGAGAGCUUGGCAUUUGAGAAAUGACUUGAUUUUUGGUAAAGGAAAGAAAUCUAUCUCGGCCUCAGUGAGUUUUAUUCAAAAUUAUUGGGCUUCAUUCUCAUCUUGUCAUGCAAAAACAAAGGGAGAGGUAAGUAACAAAGGUAAGGAUGUGAUUGAUGGUUUACAACCCAUUAGUAAUGUGGAGAGGAUUUGAGUUCCAUGGCUGCCUCCCACUCCGGAAUUCCUUAAGAUUAAUGUUGAUGCAAGUUUUGUGGAGGCCGUUAGUGCAGCGAGCGUUGGGGUGGUUGUUAGAAAUCAUUCUGGAGAAGUUCUUAUUUCUUCUUGGGAUUAUAUUGGUUCAUGUCUUUGUGUUGAUGAAGCGGAACUUCGAGCAGCCAUCUCAGGCCUUUACAUUGGUAUCACUCUUCACAAGCCCAUUAUUUUAAAAACUGACUGUUCUUUUGUGGCCUCGGUUUUUUGCAAAUGAUAACCUGGACAGGUCAAACCUUCUUGAUUUGAAGAAGGAAGCGUUGAGUGUCUCCAAGAUGAUGAGUACUUUAAAAAUCACCAAGAUUAACAGGAAGGCGAAUAUGGUGGCGCGUGAGAUUGCAAAAUUUAGUUUUAUAAAUAGGUCUGAUGGUAUUCUUAUUAAUAGUGUUCCGCCCUGCGUGGCAAGAGCUGUAACGAAUGAUUGUACGAACAUUUGUGUCAAUUAAUUAAUAUAUGGGUGGGGUUUUUCAAAAAAAUGAAUGUAUAUAACGGAAAUGCAAUUUGGUGCCCGAGCUGAGAUGCUCUCGAUAUCUAUGCCACGAGUCAGCCUCGGGAUUAGGGAUGGUGCACGUAUUUACUCCCGUAUAUGGAUGUAUUAGUCAUUUUUUUGGGAAGGACAGCCCACACAUGGCCGGAUGGCGCAUGUUCAUUUAUUCGCUACCUACCCGGGUGUUCUCAUGAUUUCCUGCGCGUGCUCCCCAUGCCGGCCGUCGGCGCUGCUGCCAUGGACGCUCACGACGAGUGGAGGCGCACCAGCUCUAACAGUUUGACCUGACGCAAGAAGCCUGCUAAGUGCGCUCAUGCUGGUAGUCACCGUCGCCGCCAUGGGCGCGAAGGCACCACCUCGUGUUCAGGCGCCUGCUCCUCCGGUUGGACGUCAGCGGUGGCUGCGAAGACACUACCAUUGCUGCAAGCGAUGCGCUCGCACGGCAAGUUGCCCUCGAUAGCCCGCCGUUUGGCGACUUGUAGACGGCUACCCAAGUUCCAUGUAGGCUCCCUCGUACGGUGCGCAGCCGUCUUUGCCGUGUCCGCCGUGGACGCGGCUGUCCUGCACGCUCACGCCAGAGCAGACGGAGAAGAUGAGCCUGUUAGAAAUUUUUGGAGCCAGAGUUGCACCUCCCAACAAAUUAUCAGCCCUGAUUUGAAACAGCACAAGGUACGACAAAGCUAGCCGCUGCUAGUCUCUUAAGUAGGUGCCUCCGUCACCGGCUCGUCGGUGAAGCCGUGUUGCUCAGACGUAGGCAUGUAACACUACAGAUAUGUGAGAGAAGGAAACAUGAUGGAGGAAGAGAAAUUGAAUCCAUAGUGCUCCUGUCCAACGCGCUAGUGCAUCUCAGCACGUUAUAUUAUCGUGAAUGUAAUUAAAUUCAUCAGGACAAUGGAUAAUGAAUUCAAUCUUUCGUCCAGCUCGUGUUUGUUGCCGCAGCCUGCAGGCCUGCACAUGAGAAGGACGGAUUGACGCUUUGAUCUAGCACCGGAGCAGAGGGAGAGGUCAGCUUCGGAGGCAGCAGCCGGCUGGCCAUUAUUACAGAGAGAGAGACGUCAAGGGAGGACGCUGAGUGCCUGACAGUUGGCUUCCUGUACAUGGUAUAUGUUAGUACAUUAUGUAUUCUUUUGCGUAUAGGCUGUGGUAUUUCCUCAAAAACUGAAUUUGGCUCACAUCACGAUGCUCUAUUGAAUGGUAUAGAUAGCAGGAGCAGCUGGGCUCGGGAGCCAAAACGCUGCUCUCUGUAUAUAAACACAUUUUAGUGUGUUUGUUCAUUUAUUUUAAUAUAUUGAAAUACCUGAAACAUACUUAUAUUUGUGGACAUGGUGAACUAUAUUCAUGGUACGACCAAGUACUAGAGAAAAGAAAACCCACGCAAAUUCACUUCUUGUUACAAUGGAGGGAGAAGACAUACAACUACAAGUUGACGCACACAUUUUCUUUACAAGACAAAAAAUGGCGUACAUAUGGGAUGUGUUUGGUAGGUUGCAUAUACCUCAGCCAGGCUCACACGGAAAGACAAAGGCCCGUUUGGUUACCCGCAUUCACUGUUGGGCCUGCAUAACAUGAACAUUAAAGCAUCUCUGGGCCUGCAUCCAAAGGAACGCUCAAAUCUGCCGUUUUUGUAGAGCCAGGCCCGCGCGGUGCAACCCUACGCACGUGGGUGUGGGCGGUAGCACGAGUGUGUGUGGUCCCGACACGUCGCGUUGUUUCCAGACAUGUCGUCAUAUUACCCUCACCUCCCUUCCUUACCGCUCUCUCCCCUCUUCCCCACUCACACCAGUGGCGGCGACGACAGCGGCAACCUGAGCUCUAGUGCGAAGCGAUACAAGACGGCAGCGGCGACCGCCGGAGCGACUCUGGACCUCCACCGGAGCGCAUCGGCCAUGGUGGUAAGACCUCGUCCUCUCUGUACAUUCAGUCCUUUCGAUUCAGGCUAGAUUAGAUUAGAGCACGCGAUUGAAGAGUUAGGGGGGGGGGUGAACACAUCGGGGGCAGAGGAUUGUCAUAAAUCGAUUCUGCAUCGACGGCUACUAGGGUUUAUAGGUUAUUGUUCGACUACAUCGGGGGUGGGGAUUGGGGUACAAACUUUCUUGUCUAGCCGCGGCGACCCUGGAGUCGCGUCGAGUGGCGGGGGAGGGCGUAGUCAUAUUCUUUUCUUCCUCAUCGUUUUCGUCAAGAACGAUGGGUCUUGCACGCUUGCCUGCCGCUAGCGCCCUGGACACCAUCUGCACCUCGUCGUUGUCGGCCUCCGGCGACCCGAACGUGCUACUCUAGUACGCCGCUGCACGCUAGUCGUCAAGCGCCUUGUACUGAAUGUACUUGGCCCAUUUUGCCCGCUGUCAAGCGUCGUCGGAGUCUGCAUGAUUUAUGGCCCAGCGCAGGAUGUCCACUAACAUCGCGAACUUGGUUGGGUCCGGAACCAGUGUCUUCAGCUCAUCCGGUGUAGCCUUCUUCAUCACAGCAUCGGCCUCCUUGUGCAUGUCGUCUAUGCUGCUAAAGUUUGAGCACACUUCCAUGGUGUGCUCAAACUUCUUGCGGUCACCGAGCGAGCACCCAAGGAAGAAGGCCCUCCAUCCAAUGCCCCAGGGGAAAGGGUUGGGGUUGGAGUUGGAGUUCAUGCCGAGGGGAAUGUGGUGAAACAUAUGGGGUUUUAGUGCGGUGUUGGGUUAGUGGGGUGGGUUAAUAUAGGCGCGUUAGGCCGAUAUGAACGAACGCUGAACUUUGAACUGUGUGAUGUUCAUAAUGCAGAUGGACAAGGGCAAGGAGGUGAUGCCAUCAACGAAGAAGGGCAAGGAGGUUGUGCCUCCAUUGGUCGAAGUGCCAGUGCAGAAUCACCCAAGCCCCAAGCGAAGGAGCUAUGGCAACUUUCAUCAGGAGGCAGGACCAAACCACUUCUGCAAGGUUAUCCUUGCUCUGAAGCUGGAGAGUUUGCCAUUGCCUCUGGACUUCAGGAAGCACUUCCCCGCCAUCCCUACAGAGUUCAAGCUCGAGACGAACACCGGCUGCGCAUGGAGGGUGACGGUGAGGGUGAUUAAUGAUAGGGUCACCCUUGAUCAGGGUUGGGCCACCUCCGCCGCCGUUAACCACAUCAUGAUCGGGUACAUGCUGACGUUCAAGCUGCUGUCCCCCGACACCAUGAAGGUGAUCGUCUUCAACAACGAGGGCGUGGAGGUGGUCACCAAGUGCAAGGAGCACGGCAAUGCCUUCACCGCGACUGCCAGAGCUCCUGUUGGCCGUUCCUUGUUAGUUCUUGCUUUAAGACUUGAAUUUCGUUUAGGAACUUGUCGUACUAUGUUGGUUUAAAACUUCUUCUGCGUGGUUAAGACUUAUGUUUGUGCCCAAGAUUGUUCUAUUGCUACUAAUUUAGUUGUUAGUAGUUCAUGUGUGCUUUUGGUAACCUCAUCACAUCGAAGAGGAGGUUACUACACAACUAUCCUGGAUGUAACCAAACAACCGGACUUGUGUUUCCCCUCAAACUAAUCCGCAACCAAACAACAUGCCUUUUAUUUAGCACAUUCAGGCUAUAAGGGAUGCAGGUAAUCAAUCAACAUAUGCAGAUGUUGACUUUAACGACAAGUAUGUAAAGUGCCAAAAAAACAGUGCAGGUAACCAAAGCGCCCAUGGAUCGUGGAUGCAUGUGCAACUAGCACGGGACGGGACAAAAGAAGGUAGCAGGUUAGCUGCCAGCUUUUACAAUUCAUAGAAAAAAAACAGGCACCAAUAUUUCAAGGAAAACUCUGGCAACUGUCCAUGUCCUUCGAGCGAGUGUGAACGGCUGGGACACUCUUCUUGCAUGCGUGCAAGCCGACAGUACAGUUCGAGCGAGUGUGAACGGCUGGGACGCUCUUCUUGCAUGCGUGCAAGCCGACAGUACAGUUCAAUGUUAACCAUUGGCAAUGGGUUUCCAUGCAUUCUGCCAACGGUACCAGAACUUAGCUAGAGCUUGAAUUCUUUUCCCUUUUUUCGAGAUAAAAAGAGCUAACUACUUGAAUUCUCAAGCUAACUGCUUAGUAGAAGAACAAACUGGGGCGUCCAUAAUUUCUCCACGUUGAAAAGAAACUACUCCGGAUCAAAAUAUAAGACGUUUUUGCAGCUCAAAGUGAACUACAAAAACGUCUUAAGAUAUUGGUACACGAGGGAGUAAGUCUUACAAGAUCAAAUUGCAAACUCAACUAUGAAUAGAAGAAUACUGCUGUCAAAUGGAGAAAUAUAUACAGCUAAGUAAAAUAAAGCCAGAAUCGAUAACCAAUACCACACAAGAAAAAGGUGAGAAAUGCAACUCGCUACACACCACACUCAGUAUCAUGAUUACGUAUCUGACACCUGUGAUUCUAAUUGUCCAAUGCGCAAACCAAAUAAUUCCCGAGGCAAUAAAGAACAGACCGACCGAACC